rnacentral:rRNA from 1 species
CUACGUAGGUGCCAAGCGUUAUCCGGAUUUACUGGGCGUAAAGGGCGUGUAGGCGGUCUUGCAAGUCAGAAGUGAAAUUCCUGAGCUCAACUCGGGCGCUGCUUCUGAAACUGCAGGACUUGAGUGCUGGAGGGGAUAGCGGAAUUCCUAGUGGAGCGGUAAAAUGCGCAGAAAUUAGGAAGAACACCGGUGGCGAAGGCGGCUAUCUGGACAGUAACUGACGCUGAGGCGCGAAAGCGUGGGGAGCAAACAGGAUUAGAUACCCUGUUAGUCCACGCCGUAACGAUGAAUACUAGGUGUGGGGGGACUGACCCCCUCCGUGCCGCAGUUAACACAAUAAGUAUUCCACCUGGGGAGUACGAUCGCAAGAUUGAAACUCAAAGGAAUUGACGGG